GAUGAACGCUGGCGGCGUGCCUAAUACAUGCAAGUCGAACGAAACUUCUUUAUCACCGAGUGCUUGCACUCACCGAUAAAGAGUUGAGUGGCGAACGGGUGAGUAACACGUGGGCAACCUGCCCAAAAGAGGGGGAUAACACUGGGAAACAGGUGCUAAUACCGCAUAACCAUAGUUACCGCAUGGUAACUAUGUAAAAGGUGGCUAUACUACCGCUUUUGGAUGGGCCCGCGGCGCAUUAGCUAGUUGGUAGGGUAAAGGCUUACCAAGGCAAUGAUGCGUAGCCGAAUUGAGAGGUUGAUCGGCCACAUUGGGACUGAGACACGGCCCAAACUCCUACGGGAGGCAGCAGUAGGGAAUCUUCCACAAUGGGCGAAAGCCUGAUGGAGCAACGCCGCGUGGGUGAAGAAGGUCUUCGGAUCGUAAAACCCUGUUGUUAGAGAAGAAAGUGCGUGAGAGUAACUGUUCACGUUUCGACGGUAUCUAACCAGAAAGCCACGGCUAACUACGUG
rnacentral:rRNA from 1 species